rnacentral:lncRNA from 1 species
UUGGUUUUGUGCUACCUGUGAGAUCUGGGUUUCAAGCAUCUUGUUGUGAGUGAUUAUCUGAUCAACCUUGGUUCCUAAUUGUGUUAUAAGUUCGUUUACGUGAAUGUUCUGGUUUAGGAAUUCUUUAUUUUGCUGAGUCUGGCCCGAUAUAAAUCUCUCCAUGAUUUUCUCAAGGUUAGACUUCUGGGGCACAUCUUGCAUAGGUUGGUUUGG